AAAGGACAGCCGAGCUUUGCCAGGAAAUGGCGUCGUAGGGGUGCGGUCUGUGAGCAGGAACUCCAGUUGGAAAGAUAUGAGAAUAGGUCAGCAAGGACAAGUGCCAAAUACUGGAAGAGAGGGAGUCAUUUUGUCAGAAAUUGUGCCAAGAUUUCCAUAAAGUAAAUUAAAUCCUGGAGAUGUUCCAUAAGACAAUCAAAGUUUGGCUAUGUGACCAUCAGCAACAAUAGUGGUGAGGAGAGGCCUUCAAGAUUUGAAGUUUUUUCCAAGUAGGAUGAUGAUGUGAAAGGAAAACUGCAUGAAACAUUAGUAAACAGAUGGCAUCAUUUCAUCUCAUGCUCUGAAAGUGACAAGUGACACUGUGGCACUGACUUUAUUGUAUUAGCCUGUGCUGGCUGUGUUGAAUUUAUAAACCAUGAAGCAACUUUCUUUGGCUCUACCUCACACAACAGAAGGUGAAGUAAGAAAGCACAGGGAAACUAAUAUAAGACUUGAGAUACUCCUGAUGUAACUUUGAGCAGGAAUGCAGUAUAAGUAAGAUCUUCUCUGAUCACCAUGUAGUAGCACUAAAAACGGUUGCUGUUCUGUGGUUUUUUUCGUCCCUCCCAGCAUGCCAGGGAACACAGAGACCUGUGGCUGACUCACAGGCUGAUGUUGUCAUUUUGGCACACAGUCAGUAAAAUGCUGCCAGUUCUGUCUUAUUGCAUAGGAUCUGUUUGCCUGGAGCUUUUAAAUCUUUUCCAGAGCUGACAGUUUUGGUGGAAAGGUUACCUAAACAUCCCCAAACAUUUGACUUUAAAACUGUGAGGCACAAAUUACUUAAUCUCUCAACAGAGUGAAAAAUAUUCCAAAAAUCCAGUACGGAAUGUUUAUUGUUUUUGUUAGUGCUUAUUUUUCCCCUCUGUUAUGAUAGGCACUCCAUUUUGUUGAAGGGAAAAAAUAUGCUGUGGAAGACCUUUGAACACCCCCCACACACACCCUAACCAUUAUUACUUUUUCAUCUGUCUUCCUAGAUGUGUGAGACAUGAGCAAUGUGGUACAGGUUGUAAGGAGAGAAAGCAAUAUUAAGACUUGCAGUAGAUGGUUGAUUCAGAAGUGGUUUGAUACUGAUGAAAUGGAUCUGCACCUGCUGAAUAGGACCUCAAAAUAAAGCUCACAAAUGCACAGAUAUGACUUAGAUUUAUUUUAAUACAUAGGCUUUUUGAUCCAGGCAAGUUUUAUUGGCCAAUAGUCUUCAACUCUGGAGUAGUUUUUGCAGUAUUUUACUGCUCUUUCUACUACUAUCGCUGUCAAGUCCUGAGAGCAACAUACUUUUGAGUCAGUAUGAGAAAUUUUGGAAAUACAAAACAUUAUUAGUAUCACUUUUUUUCUUGUAUCUUUUGUAAAGGCAUUACAAAAGCCUAUUUUCCAUCCCAAGCAGAGUGUUAUUUUCAUAGCUUACUUUAAGCUGAAGGGGAGAUUCUGGAGGAAUUCUCUGUAAUGAAAUUACUUUGCUGCAUUAAGAAUUAUGAUAUAUAUAUAUUUUUUCAGUGACUUUUCAAGAGAAUCAUCCUUUUGGGUUGAUUUGAAAGGUUGAAGGAGGAGCCAAGAUAACAAAAAUCUAUUUCAAGUAAUAAGUGUAUGUUCUUGCUUCAUGAUUCCUGUAGUAACUCUUCCUGUACAUAUGAAUGAAAGACCUGGAGUAUAUUUUUUCUACCUAAAAAUUUUAACAGCUAUUUUCAAGGAAAUAAGACAAUUUUUCAUGCUUUCAACACUCUAUGGUGGUGAGUAGUUUAUUAAGCAGGUCUCAUAGGUCUCACUUAAGGAUUAUUUUAGCAUAGGAUACAGGGAAAUGAGGCACCUUCGAUGUCGAGGUCAUGCAUGUUGGUGAAAACGUUCUUUCAGAUGCCUUCCCUUUGCUCUGAUGCAGGAUUUUGUUGUUCUUUUUUUUCUCACUGGUUGCGUCUCAGGAUGCAUUUCUUCAUGCUUCUUCCAAGACCAAGCCCUCAUUAACAUUUAGACUCUAAUUGCUGCUGCUGAGAAUAGCUUUCUCUCAGCCAUUGUUUUUCUUUGAGGAAUUUUAAUUGGAGACCUAGAACAAUUGCACGUGGCUUUGGUGGAGAUGAGAGGGAGAAAACAGAGAAAAGCAGCAUGUUUGUGUAUCUCCAGAUAGGAUUUAACAGCCUUUAUUUACUAGUUACCUAGGAUUGGAUUUAAAUAUGAAAGUAUUUUCUUCAGGUUGCAAUGUUUACUACAGCAGUAGAUCUUCCCUGUGGCUUAAUGCCAGCUUCCAAAAUCAGUGGAGAUUGCUCUGUCACACCAAAAUAAAUCUGACCGUGUCUUAAUGUACUGAUCAAACUUGACUCUAAAUACAUGCCUGUUGUAUAUAGGAUGAAGACUCAAGAGCAGCAAAUUCAAUUUAAUUUGCUUAUGCUUUUUCAGAGGAAAAAAAAAAAAAACACAAAAAAGGCAUAUAUUGUCAGGUAAAAUUUGCAUGUAAACAGGAAUGCUUUUUCAAAAUCACAAAACAAAUAGGAAAAUUAUGCUUCAGUGCAUUUAUGAUUGUUGUCAGUUUCUUACAUCAGAAGGUUUACAUACGUGAGAAGAGCAUUUUGUCUGAAAUGAUCUUCUUUAGGAAAGGAUUUUUGCUGUUUUUUAGCCUUUAUCCAUCUUACAGGUUAUAGGAUGUCUUUUAAAACUCAAUAUUUAAAUGUACCCUGCAGCAGAGCACAUUUGGACCCUAGAACCUGGAAUGAUCUGUUUUAAUCAUAGGAAUACAGGAAAUCCAGCAUUCCUGGGCAGUGACAGAAAGAUGCAGUUCAGACUUCUUUAGAAAUCGUAAAUGGGUAAAUCACGAUUAAUAUUUUCUAGGAAUGUGUGCAAACUGCUGCAAGACAAUGAAUCAAGCUUAAAUUAGUUUAACCAGUUGAAAGAUGACUUCCAUAAUGUACUUCAUUAUCAUGAAUAAUUCUGCCCCUUUGAUUGUAAGAUAGUAGUAAAUAAUGAAAGAAUUUAGAUGGAAAUUAGGCAAUGCUUCACUUUGUUUAAUAACAGUGCCUUUGAAUUUCAUCCUGACCUUUAACAAAGAUUUUGUAUGAACACACAACAGGUUGCAAAUGGGGGAAGGGCUGGUUUAAGGGGGAAAAACAGAACUGUAAAGAAAUGCAGAGGAGAAAAUGAGAAACAUUUUGUUACCUGAUUGCUGAGAUUUCCCUUGAACCUUUAAAGUCUUCUAAGAAACAGAAGCAAAAUGAAAGAUUAGGGCAAAUUUUAUGAGGCUCUUCUUUUGGAUAACUAAAGUACUAAAUGGAUUGGUAAGUGAAUGCUCUCCUGUAUGUUUUGAUGAGUCAAAAGACGUUGCAUGGAGAAUUAGAACAGAUGUUUUUAUUAUGAUUUUCAGUUGAUAUCUCAGUAUUCUUCUAAAGAGGCUUUUUGUUGUACAGUAGAAGAAGAGGCCUAUUCCAUGUAAUUAAGUGUCAUCUGGAAUGUGGGGAUUGUAAUAUACGAUGUUAUUGCUGAUGUAAUGGUUUGAAUUGAAGACUUCUAUGGACUGUGUAUUUUUUAUUAUUAGUUUAACUCUCUCUCAGACUCUCCUGGACUAGAACUUGUACAUAAUUAAAAAAAAAA